rnacentral:rRNA from 1 species
UACGUAGGUGACAAGCGUUGUCCGGAUUUACUGGGCGUAAAGCGCGUGUAGGCGGUUUGUUAAGUCUGAUGUGAAAGCCCUGGGCUCAACCCAGGAAGUGCAUUGGAUACUGGCAGACUUGAAUACGGGAGAGGGUAGUGGAAUUCCUGGUGUAGGAGUGAAAUCCGUAGAUAUCAGGAGGAACACCGGUGGCGAAGGCGGCUACCUGGACCGAUAUUGACGCUGAGACGCGAAAGCGUGGGUAGCAAACAGG